AGUCCUCAAACACCUUAAACACAAGUCCCUGACCUUGUUUCCUUCCGAAAUCGGACGGUCAGUCACCGUUUUCUCAGUUCCUGCUAACACACAGCACGUAAAAAUAAACUCCGCGCAUGUCUCUAUCAAAUCACAAUUCACAAAGACAGAAUUUCCACAAACUCUAUCUUAGCCAACUGCUGCAUUUUGAAGAGGUACUUUUUAAUUUCUCUCUUUCACCCAAUCUAUUCAUUUCUUGAUCUCUGAACAGCGACCCCUUGCUAUUAAUCAAAGCAUCUUCUAUUUUUUUUCUAUUUUGUUUUAAAAAAACCCUUCUUUUCUUUUCCUUGAAUGAAAAAAUGUUUGCUUCGGCUUCUUUUGGUUUUUUUUUUUUGGUCUCAAACUUGCCACAGCUGGUUUACUGCUUAUAUAUAAAUGUUUCUCUAGGGUUUGCCUGCUUUUGUUUGUAAGACGUAAGUCAUUUUUUUGCGGAUUAAAUGAAACCCAUUAUAGCUUUUCAAGUUUUGUUGAGGAAGUACUUUAUGUGAGUGUGUUUGAUUAGUGUUUUAGUCGCUGACUUACCGUAUAAGUGACUGAUCCGAAAUUGAGAUACUGCAUGUGCAAAUGAGGUUGGAUGUCUAAAAUUAUGCAACGUGCUUGGAUGGGAGGGAUCUCUUAUGAUUCAAUGAAAAUGGGGGAAAACUUGAGAUGAAUUGUUGCUGGAAUCCAUCUGUUGCUCUUCCACAUGGUCCAUAACACGCUUUCAAUUAGAGAUAUAUAUAAGGUAAAUGAAUAAAUUGUCUCUACCAAUGAUGUUUCUAUAAUGUUACUUGAUACGCUACCAUUGAGUAUACAUGACAUUUAGUACAUCAGCUUAUAAGAAGCAACUGAUGAGUCUCAGUUGUAAAGCUGAAUCAUUCGCUUCUAUGCUUGACUGCUUAUCUGUAAUGUAUAUAUCCUUGUGCUUUUGUAAUCCAAAAAUUUUAAUGCGAUUAAUGUCUAUUAUGUGUGGUUUUAGCGUGAUGAUCAUCUUAUGUCUCUGAGGCAUCUAAUGUCAUGCUGUAAAGUAAACUGCUAAUAACUUUGUUUGAAUGCUUUUGUUUAUGAUGUACAUCUUCAUGUUUUCACAAUUGAAAAGUCGCUGUAUGAUGGGCAUCCAUCGUGUGCAUUUGGUCUUGAGAUUGACUUUGUAUCUUGUGUCUAAGAUCUCCAAGGGCAUGUCAUUUUUGGGAAAAAUAUCUUGGAUGCAAUGCUUCGUCAGUUUGGAUAGAUGCCGAGGAAAAGGCAAGUUUCUCUCCCAAGUAUCACGCAAAUGAAGUCACUGAAAAUGAGUUCUCUUUGCUCAAAUGUUUGAAUGUUAGUAGGUUUUAAUAAGUUUACGUGUAAUCCUUCAAGAAUAGUGUGGUGUUGCAUGUACAGAUAUUGCAAUCCUUUGUCCAUUUGUAUGAUCAAAUAGACAAUGGAACAAUAAGCUAAAUUGCAGGUCAGAAACAUGAAUUGCUUAUAAAAAAUUAUGAACAAAGCCAUAGCUUGAUUUCCUUCUAAUUUAUUUAUUUUAUGUGAAGUUUUUAUGCAGUUGAUAAUUGUUAUACAAAAUGGAAAAUGGGCGAAUUAUGAACUCUUCUGUAAUACAAGAUGGUUUUAUGAUGAAAACUCAUGAUGAAGAAGAGCCCUCCAAAAUCCAUAAUGACAUUAUUACUAAUCGUUGAAAGAACCGUGAAUGGCAACAUAGAUACAGGGCCUGAAAACGCCUUGAAGCAGAUAUGAAGUAGGACUCUGACAAACCAGCUAUCACCAUCACAAGUAGAAGUGGAACUGAAUGGGCAUCAUAAUAGUUGCAUAACCCCUAUUCCUUGUAAAAGAACUGGAAAAAAGAUGCAAGAAGAGCUCAUGCAUAUAGGCAUAUGGAAGAAACACGUAAUGCUUCUGCUAUUUCUGCAUUGCCCUUAAAUAUUGAAAGUCAGACAGUAUGCUUGGCCAAUGCAAGAAUGACAGGGGCACCACAAGAGAGGAAAAAUCAUUCGGAGAUUUCUGUUAGCUUGUGGAGUGGUGAAACAUAUAAUACCAAGCCGGGUCGAAGAGAUUGGAAGGCAGAGGCAAGUAAAAUAAAUAAAUAAAUGUGUUUGUUGGGCUUAAUGAAUUUGCAGAGACAUUUUGAUCAGCAGGUAGUGAUUGUGGAGAAUACUUCUGCGAUUACAGAUAGGAUGGGAGAGCGUCAAAAAACAUAGCCAGCAAGUUAACAAUUGCAUACCAUCAAUUUUGUUGCAGGAAGAAUAACAAAUAGCAGAAGCUUCGCCGUGAAUUUUGCCUUUAUUUUAAGGUUAGGUCAGUGUUCAGGAAUGAUUAUAAUAUAUGGUGACUCUACUGUGAAGUGUAACAUCAUUGUGCAUACAAGACAGAGGAUUGUUAUAUACGCACCACAAUGGAACAUGAAAUAUGAAACUUUGCUCAUGUCAAGGCAAUACUUCUGCGUCUUCAUGCCUUUAUAUAUGGGAAUAGGAAGAUGAAUCUUGUCCAAAAUCAAUGUUUUCUUGAGUAAUAAUAGUGUUAAGACUCUUGAAAAUUGUAUUCGCGUAUGAUUCAAGAAACUUCAGUGUUUUGUUGCUUGUAAAAGAGUUCAUGGUCAUCGACCUCUCAUUCCAUUAAUAUGAUUUUUAUACAAAA